rnacentral:rRNA from 1 species
UACAGAGGUCCCAAGCGUUGUUCGGAUUCACUGGGCGUAAAGGGUGCGUAGGCGGUCGGGUAAGUCUGAUGUGAAAUCUCACAGCUUAACUGUGAAACUGCAUUGGAUACUAUCCGGCUAGAGGAAUGGAGGGGAGACUGGAAUACUUGGUGUAGCAGUGAAAUGCGUAGAUAUCAAGUGGAACACCAGUGGCGAAGGCGGGUCUCUGGACAGUUCCUGACACUGAGGCACGAAGGCCAGGGGAGCAAACGGG